rnacentral:rRNA from 1 species
GACGAACGCUGGCGGCGUGCUUAACACAUGCAAGUCGAACGGAAAGGCCCUGCUUUUGUGGGGUGCUCGAGUGGCGAACGGGUGAGUAACACGUGAGUAACCUGCCCUUGACUUUGGGAUAACUUCAGGAAACUGGGGCUAAUACCGGAUAGGAGCUCCUGCUGCAUGGUGGGGGUUGGAAAGUUUCGGCGGUUGGGGAUGGACUCGCGGCUUGUCAGCUUGUUGGUGGGGUAGUGGCUUACCAAGGCUUUGACGGGUAGCCGGCCUGAGAGGGUGACCGGCCACAUUGGGACUGAGAUACGGCCCAGACUCCUACGGGAGGCAGCAGUGGGGAAUAUUGCACAAUGGGCGGAAGCCUGAUGCAGCAACGCCGCGUGCGGGAUGACGGCCUUCGGGUUGUAAACCGCUUUCGCCUGUGACGAAGCGUGAGUGACGGUAAUGGGUAAAGAAGCACCGGCUAACUACGCG